AUACGUUACUGAAGCUACAUUGGACACGCAUGCACCAGAAACCAGACUUGUCUAAUAAUAUUGCGGCGAAAGUCGGACGUCCACGAACGUCGUCUCUUUAUUCGCAUAAAUCUAUAAUAAAUUAUAGAGCGACGCAGAGGCGAUAAGAGAGGAAAGACAGGACGCGGUGAGGAACGAUGGAGAAAAAAAACGCAACAUAGAGUGGAAGAAAACGCGCUAUGUGACUCUCAUGGCUACAGUCGAACCCGAAAAGAAAUAUAGAACGCGCGCUAUGAGAACGGGCAACAAGAACGGCGAUGGAAGAGGAAGAAAAUCUAGGUACUGAGAAUGCUUUUAAUCUUGAAAUUGCAAUGGGUGAAUUUGAAUUCCGUUACUGUCUGCAACAAUCGAAGGAUAGAGAAGGAAAAACAACAUUAGAGAUAUGGACAUAAAAUAUUCGAGAAGGAAUAGUAAAAUUGCCUUAACAUCGAAAAAUUUUUUGUAUAAGAAUAU